rnacentral:rRNA from 1 species
UACGUAGGGGGCAAGCGUUGUCCGGAUUUAUUGGGCGUAAAGAGCGUGUAGGCGGCCAGACAGGUCCGUUGUGAAACUCGAGGCUCAACCUCGAGAUGUCGAUGGAAACCGUCUGGCUAGAGUCCGGAAGAGGAGUGUGGAAUUCCUGGUGUAGCGGUGAAAUGCGCAGAUAUCAAGGAAGAACACCUAUGGCGAAGGCAGCACUCUGGGACGGUACCUGACGCUGAGACGCGAAAGCGUGGGGAGCGAACAGG